rnacentral:lncRNA from 1 species
GAAAACUAUAAGUUCUACACUAUCAUUUUCUGAAAACUAACAGAUUUAGCUUUAGGAGCUGUAAUUAGUUUGUAUUGCCGCAGUUUGUACGCGGUGGAUAUACAGAAUAGUGUAGAAUGAAUUUACGCUCGUGCUAGGAUGCCGAAUUUUUUUUUUACAGUAGUGUAUAGACUGUUCCGGACUGUCGGGUGCCGUCGCAGUUGACGGUGGAUCCAGAUUUCUGUAUUUUAUAUCAGAUUGUGUCGAGGGCACGUGAGUUAUAGUUAUUAGACCAGUUAGACCCUUCUGCUUUGACUAUAGCCUGUAAGAGUCUGAUUGAACUCGGCAGAGAUACGCUUGCAUACUCGGUUGAGUAGCGCCCACGAGUGCCACUCCGGAGUCGGGUUUUGUGCUUUUGCGUUGUUGUCGUUGUGUCCUAGUUGGAUUCGCUCUCCACUGACCACCCAGUGUGGUGAUAGUAGUAUAGCUUCGACGGGCGGGACGGAUGUGUUCACAGUCCCUAGUGAGAUUAGGUAAGAGAUUGUAUUUUUCUACAGAUAGUUAGUAUUAGAUCGUGAUAGUAUAGUGGCAUAUAGCUGUAGAAUUGUUUCAGCUUUCUUU